rnacentral:rRNA from 1 species
AACGAACGCUGGCGGCGUGGAUAAGACAUGCAAGUCGAACGGGACAGGUAGCAAUAUCUGUUCAGUGGCGAACGGGUGCGUAACACGUGGGCAACAUGCCUGGAAGAGCGGGAUAGCCCGGGGAAACUCGGAUUAAUACCGCAUGUGACAACGGGGCGGCUUCGCCCUGUUUUCAAAGGUGGGGACCGCAAGGCCUGCCGCUUCCAGAUUGGCCCGCGUCCUAUCAGCUAGUUGGCGGGGUAACGGCCCACCAAGGCGACGACGGGUAGCUGGUCUGAGAGGACGACCAGCCACACUGGAACUGAGACACGGUCCAGACACCUACGGGUGGCAGCAGUCGAGAAUCUUUCACAAUGGGGGAAACCCUGAUGGAGCGACGCCGCGUGGAGGAUGACGGUCUUCGGAUUGUAAACUCCUGUCAUGAAAGAACAAGCGAUGCGGGUAAACAGCCCGCAAAGUUGAUAGUAUUUCAAGAGGAAGGGACGGCUAACUUCGUGCCAGCAGCCGCGGUAAUACGAAGGUCCCAAGCGUUGUUCGGAAUCACUGGGCGUAAAGAGUGCGUAGGCGGCGCGGAAAGUCAGAUGUGAAAUCCCGGGGCUCAACCUCGGAACGGCAUCCGAUACUCCCGCGCUCGAGGACUGGAGGGGAGUCUGGAAUUCACGGUGUAGCAGUGAAAUGCGUAGAUAUCGUGAGGAACACUAGUGGCGAAGGCGAGACUCUGGACAGUUCCUGACGCUGAGGCACGAAGGCCAGGGGAGCGAAGGGGAUUAGAUACCCCCGUAGUCCUGGCAGUAAACGGUGCUCGCUUGGUAUGCGCGGUUUCGACCCCGUGCGUGCCGGAGCUAACGCGUUAAGCGAGCCGCCUGGGAAGUACGGUCGCAAGAUUAAAACUCAAAGAAAUUGACGGGGACCCGCACAAGCGGUGGAGUAUGUGGCUUAAUUCGACACUACGCGAGGAACCUUACCUAGGUUUGACAUGUACUUGACCGCCGUAGAAAUACGGUCUUUUAUACGAAAGUAUAGACAAGUACACAGGUGCUGCAUGGCUGUCGUCAGCUCGUGUCGUGAGAUGUCGGGUUAAGUCCUUUAACGAGCGCAACUCCUGCCAUUAGUUGCAACUCCGUAAGGAGGCACUCUAAUGGGACUGCCUGGGAAACCAGGAGGAAGGUGGGAAUGACGUCAAGUCAGCAUGGUCCUUAUGUCUAGGGCGACACACGUGUUACAAUGGUCGGUACAAAGGGUUACAAGCUUGUAAGAGUAAGUUAAUCCCAUAAAGCCGAUCUAAGUUCGGAUUGAGGUCUGCAACUCGACCUCAUGAAGCUGAAAUCGCUAGUAAUCGCGCAUCAGAACGGCGCGGUGAAUACGUUCUCGGACCUUGUACACACCGCCCGUCACACCAUGAAAGCUGUCUGCACCCGAUACUGCUUUAGCUAACUCGAAAGAGAGGCGAGCAAUUAAGGUGUGGGGAGUGAUUGGGGUG